CGGUGAUCUAGCCAUGGGCAGGUUGAAGGUUGGGUAACACUAACUGGAGGACCGAACCGACUAAUGUUGAAAAAUUAGCGGAUGACCUGUGGCUGGGGGUGAAAGGCCAAUCAAACCGGGAGAUAGCUGGUUCUCCCCGAAAGCUAUUUAGGUAGCGCCUCGUGAAUUCAUCUCCGGGGGUAGAGCACUGUUUCGGCUAGGGGGCCAUCCCGGCUUACCAACCCGAUGCAAACUGCGAAUACCGGAGAAUGUUAUCACGGGAGACACACGGCGGGUGCUAACGUCCGUCGUGAAGAGGGAAACAACCCAGACCGCCAGCUAAGGUCCCAAAGUCAUGGUUAAGUGGGAAACGAUGUGGGAAGGCCCAGACAGCCAGGAUGUUGGCUUAGAAGCAGCCAUCAUUUAAAGAAAGCGUAAUAGCUCACUGGUCGAGUCGGCCUGCGCGGAAGAUGUAACGGGGCUAAACCAUG
rnacentral:rRNA from 2 species